rnacentral:rRNA from 1 species
UUGAAAGGGAAACGAUUGAAGUCAGUCGUGCUGGCGCGAAAUCAACCUUCUCGUCUUGAGAUCACAUGGCGUGGCGAGCCUCAAAACCGUCACGAAGUGUGAACUCUUGGUGAAAUGGAGCACUUUCGUGUCCGCUGGUUAACAUCAAUUUCGAACGUCAUGAAAAGGCUGGAGGGAUGUGGCUCCUUCGGGAGUGUUAUAACCUUUAGCGGAAUGUGGUGUUCGGGAUUGAGGAUUGCAACGAAUACCUUUAGGGCUGUUCCACCUGGCUUCUCUUUGGUAUCCUGGUGACGACAGCUUGCUGACGUCGUUAGGAUUCGCCUUUGAACAGGCUAGAGUGUGAGCAGAUUCGUUAAGGAUGUUGACGUA